CGGAGCGGGAGACGGGGAUCGAACCCGCGACCUUCAGCUUGGGAAGCUGAUGCUCUGCCACUGAGCUACUCCCGC
rnacentral:tRNA from 1 species